UGGCGGCGUGCCUAACACAUGCAAGUCGAGCGAGAAAGCUCCUUCGGGAGUGAGUACAGCGGCGGACGGGUGAGUAACACGUGAGAAUCUGCCCUUUAGUGAAGAAUACCAUCGAGAAAUUGAUGUUAAUUCUGCAUACGUCCCUUCGGGGAGAAAGGUGGCCUAUUUGCUACCGCUGAAGGAUGAGCUUGCGGACUAUUAGCUUGUUGGUGAGGUAAAAGCUCACCAAGGCAAUGAUGGUUAACUGGCCUGAGAGGGUGUUCAGUCACAUUGGAACUGAGAAACGGUCCAGACUCCUACGGGAGGCAGCAGUGGGGAAUAUUGCGCAAUGGGCGAAAGCCUGACGCAGCGACGCCGCGUGGAGGAUGAAGGUCUUCGGAUCGUAAACUCCUGUUAAGUGGGAAGAAAAGUCUGACUCUAACAUAGUCAGAUAAUGACGGUACCAUUAGAGAAAGCACCGGCUAACUUCGUGCCAGCAGCCGCGGUAAUACGAGGGGUGCAAGCGUUAUUCGGAAUCACUGGGCGUAAAGGGUGUGUAGACGGCGUACUAAGUCGAUUGUUAAAUUUCUCGGCUCAACCGAGAACCCGCAAUUGAUACUGGUAUGCUUGAGGGUGGAAGAGAGAAGUGGAAUUCUCGGAGUAGCGGUAAAAUGCGUAGAUCUCGAGAGGAACACCAAUGGCGAAGGCAGCUUCUUGGUCCACUCCUGACGUUGAUACACGAAAGCGUGGGGAGCAAACAGGAUUAGAUACCCUGGUAGUCCACGCCGUAAACGAUGAUCACUAGACGUUAGUUCUGUUUUUACAGGAUUAGUGUCGCAGCUAACGCGUUAAGUGAUCCGCCUGGGGACUACGGUCGCAAGAUUAAAACUCAAAGGAAUUGACGGGGGUCCGCACAAGCGGUGGAACAUGUGGUUUAAUUCGACACUACGCGAGGAACCUUACCUAGGCUUGACAUGUAUCUGACAGCCGUAGAAAUACGGUCUUUUGGAUUUCGGUUCAGACAGGUACACAGGUGCUGCAUGGCUGUCGUCAGCUCGUGUCGUGAGAUGUUGGGUUAAGUCCUCUAACGAGCGCAACUCCUACUGUCAGUUGCUACCUGCGUAAGCAGGGCACUCUGACGGAACUGCCUGGGAAACCAGGAGGAAGGUGGGAAUGACGUCAAGUCAUCAUGGUCCUUAUGCCUAGGGCUACACACGUGUUACAAUGGCCAGUACAAAGGGCAGCAAGUCUGCGAAGGCAAGCAAAUCCCAAAAAGCUGGUCUAAGUUCGGAUUGAGGUCUGCAAUUCGACCUCAUGAAGUUGAAAUCGCUAGUAAUCGCGCAUCAGCAACGGCGCGGUGAAUACGUUCUCGGACCUUGUACACACCGCCCGUCACACCACGAAAGUUCUUUGUACCCGAAGCCGUUUUAGCUAACCCGAAAGGGAGGCGAACGUCUAAGGUAUGGGGG
rnacentral:rRNA from 1 species